GAUGAACGCUGGCGGCGUGCCUAAUACAUGCAAGUCGAGCGAACAGAUAAGGAGCUUGCUCCUUUGACGUUAGCGGCGGACGGGUGAGUAACACGUGGGUAACCUACCUAUAAGACUGGAAUAACUCCGGGAAACCGGGGCUAAUGCCGGAUAACAUUUAGAACCGCAUGGUUCUAAAGUGAAAGAUGGUUUUGCUAUCACUUAUAGAUGGACCCGCGCCGUAUUAGCUAGUUGGUAAGGUAACGGCUUACCAAGGCAACGAUACGUAGCCGGCCUGAGAGGGUGAUCGGCCACACUGGAACUGAGACACGGUCCAGACUCCUACGGGAGGCAGCAGUAGGGAAUCUUCCGCAAUGGGCGAAAGCCUGACGGAGCAACGCCGCGUGAGUGAUGAAGGUCUUCGGAUCGUAAAACUCUGUUAUUAGGGAAGAACAAAUGUGUAAGUAACUGUGCACGUCUUGACGGUACCUAAUCAGAAAGCCACGGCUAACUACGUG
rnacentral:rRNA from 1 species